rnacentral:rRNA from 1 species
UACGGGGGGGGGGCAAGCGUUGUUCGGAAUUACUGGGCGUAAAGGGCUCGUAGGCGGCCAACUAAGUCGGAUGUGAAAUCCCCAGGCUUAACCUGGGAAUUGCAUCCGAUACUGGAUGGCUUGAAUCCGGGAGAGGGAUGCGGAAUUCCAGGUGUAGCGGUGAAAUGCGUAGAUAUCUGGAGGAACACCCGGUGGCGAAGGCGGC